rnacentral:rRNA from 1 species
AGUGAACGCUGGCGGUAGGCCUAACACAUGCAAGUCGAACGGCAGCACAGUAAGAGCUUGCUCUUACGGGUGGCGAGUGGCGGACGGGUGAGGAAUACAUCGGAAUCUACUUUUUCGUGGGGGAUAACCUAGGGAAACUUACGCUAAUACCGCAUACGACCUACGGGUGAAAGCAGGGGAUCUUCGGACCUUGCGCGGUUGAAUGAGCCGAUGUCGGAUUAGCUAGUUGGCGGGGUAAAGGCCCACCAAGGCGACGAUCCGUAGCUGGUCUGAGAGGAUGAUCAGCCACACUGGAACUGAGACACGGUCCAGACUCCUACGGGAGGCAGCAGUGGGGAAUAUUGGACAAUGGGCGCAAGCCUGAUCCAGCCAUACCGCGUGGGUGAAGAAGGCCUUCGGGUUGUAAAGCCCUUUUGUUGGGAAAGAAAAGCAGCAGGUUAAUACCCCGCUGUUCUGACGGUACCCAAAGAAUAAGCACCGGCUAACUUCGUG